rnacentral:lncRNA from 1 species
GGAGAAGCAUGAUCUCAUGUCAAAAGAUCCCAGGUCAGUAUUAUACUGACUACAUUGGAACAAUUUAACUCAGUUUGGUUUGUAAGGACAAAAGGAGGAGAAGAAAUAUGAAGGUGAAAACUGGAAAAGAUGGAAAUGGAGAAGGGGAUCGCUGGCAAUAAGUGGAGUCAAGGGUUCACAGAAACAAAGCAAAGGCAUUUGAAAAGCUUCAAGCCAAGACUGAAAUUGUGGUUUCUUUGAAGUCCAGAAGCAUUCUGCCACUGUCUUCAGUGUCAACAGAGUUUCCCC